GACGGAGUUUUCGGACAACGGAUAGGAAUCCUUAGUGGCGGACGGGUGAGUAACGCGUGAGGAACCUGCCUUGGAGAGGGGAAUAACACAGAGAAAUUUGUGCUAAUACCGCAUGAUGCAGUUGGGUCGCAUGGCUCUGACUGCCAAAGAUUUAUCGCUCUGAGAUGGCCUCGCGUCUGAUUAGCUAGUUGGUAGGGUAACGGCCUACCAAGGCGACGAUCGGUAGCCGGUCUGAGAGGAUGAUCAGCCACACUGGGACUGAGACACGGCCCAGACUCCUACGGGAGGCAGCAGUGGGGAAUAUUGGACAAUGGGCGAAAGCCUGAUCCAGCCAUGCCGCGUGAGUGAUGAAGGCCCUAGGGUUGUAAAGCUCUUUCGACGGGGACGAUAAUGACGGUACCCGUAGAAGAAGCCCCGGCUAACUUCGUGCCAGCAGCCGCAGUAA
rnacentral:rRNA from 1 species